rnacentral:rRNA from 1 species
GAUGAACGCUGGCGGCAUGCCUAAUACAUGCAAGUCGAGCGAACAGACGGUAAGCUUUCUCCUCUGACGGUAGCGGCUGACGGAUGGGUAACACGUACAUAACCUACCUCUAUUACUUGGAUAACUUCGUGAGACCACAUCUGAUACCACAUAAUAUAUUGUACCGCAUGGUGCAAUAGUUCUUGACGCUUUUCCUGUUUCUUUUAGCUGAUUCCGUGCCGCAUUAGCUAGUUGGUAAGGUAACGGCCUACCAAGGCGACGAUGCGUAGCCGACCUGAGAGGGUGAUCGGCCACACUGGAACUGAGACACGGUCCAGACUCCUACGGGAGGCAGCAGUAGGGAAUAUUCCGCAAUGGGCGAAAGCCUGAUGGAGCAAUGCCGCGUGAGUGAUGAAGGUCUUCGGAUCGUAAAACUCUGUUAUUAGGGAAGAAAAAAUGUGGAAGUAAAUAUGCCCGUUUUGACGGUACCUAAUCAGAAAGCACCGGCUAACUACGUG